rnacentral:tRNA from 1 species
GGGGGUAUAGCUCAGUUGGAGAGCACCUGCUUUGCAAGCAGGGGGUCAAGGGUUCGAAUCCCUUUAUCUCCACCA